AAUCCGUGUUGUGGGUGUUGGCGGAGUAAACAUUUGUAUCAUUCCCAAGCCUCUGAAUAGCAUUCUGAGUCCAGUUGUUGGAAAGUAGUAAUCUCGUCCCUUAGUUU
rnacentral:snoRNA from 1 species